UACGUAGGGAGCAAGCGUUGUCCGGAAUUACUGGGCGUAAAGGGUGCGUAGGUGGUCAAGUAAGUCAGAUGUGAAAGACCGGGGCUUAACCCCGGGGUUGCAUUUGAAACUGUUUGACUUGAGUACAGGAGAGGGAAGUGGAAUUCCUAGUGUAGCGGUGAAAUGCGUAGAUAUUAGGAGGAACACCAGUGGCGAAGGCGACUUUCUGGACUGUAACUGACACUGAGGCACGAAAGCGUGGGGAGCAAACAGG
rnacentral:rRNA from 1 species